rnacentral:rRNA from 1 species
GUGAGGAAUUUUGCGCAAUGGGGGCAACCCUGACGCAGCGACGCCGCGUGGAGGACGAAGUCUUUCGGGAUGUAAACUCCUGUCAGUGGGGACGAUAAUGACGGUACCCACAGAGGAAGCACCGGCUAACUCCGUGCCAGCAGCCGCGGUAAGACGGAGGGUGCAAGCGUUGUUCGGAAUUACUGGGCGUAAAGCGUAUGUAGGCGGCAAGUUAAGUUCAAUGUUAAAGCCCACGGCUCAACCGAGGAGAUGCAUUGAAUACUGGCUAGCUAGAGGGUGUUAGAGGAAGACGGAAUUCCCAGUGUAGCGGUGAAAUGCGUAGAUAUUGGGAGGAACAUCGGUAGCGAAAGCGGUCUUCUGGGACAUACCUGACGCUGAGGUACGAAAGCGUGGGGAGCAAACGGGAUUAGAAACCCCGGUAGUCC